rnacentral:rRNA from 1 species
GGGUGCAGCAGGCGCGAAAACCUUUACAAAUGCACGCAAAGUGUGAUAAGGGGACCCNCAAGUGCUCCACAUAUAUCAUUGGGCUUUUGCCAAGNGUAAAUAGCUUGGCUAAUCAAGNGGCCGGUCAAGACCCGUUCCCAGCCGCCCGCCGUUAAACCCGGCGCCNCGAGUUGNAAANCACGUUUAUUUGGGUCUAAAAGCGUCCGUAGUCGGNUUGGUAAAUCUCUUGUGAAAAUCUNNCAGCUUNANCNGUNCAGCCUUGCCCGAGAAUACNUGUCUAUNCCUUGAGGACCCGGAAGAGGUAAGAGGUACUACAGGGGUAGCGAGUGAAAUCUAGUAUCUCAUGAGGGACCACCAGUGGCGAAGGCGUCUUACCAGAACGGAUCCGACGGUGAGGGACGAAAGCUAGGGGCGCGAACCGGAUUAGAUACCCGAGUAGUCCCAGCCGUAAACGAUGUUNGCUAGAUAUNAGGNCUCNUUACGACCACUUCNAGUGUCGUAAGAGAAAGCCNUAAACUACUC